rnacentral:tRNA from 1 species
GAGGGUAGAGCUCAGUGGUAGAGCACGUGCUUAGCAUGCGCGAGGUCCUGGGUUCAAUCCCCGGUACCUCCA